UACGUAGGGUGCAAGCGUUGUCCGGAAUUAUUGGGCGUAAAGAGCUCGUAGGCGGUCUGUUGCGUCGGCUGUGAAAACCCGGGGCUCAACCCCGGGCCUGCAGCCGAUACGGGCAGACUAGAGUUCGGCAGGGGAGACUGGAAUUCCUGGUGUAGCGGUGAAAUGCGCAGAUAUCAGGAGGAACACCGGUGGCGAAGGCGGGUCUCUGGGCCGAAACUGACGCUGAGGCACGAAAGCGUGGGGAGCAAACAGG
rnacentral:rRNA from 1 species